CGAGGAAUCUUGGGCAAUGGGGGAAACCCUGACCCAGCGACGCCGCGUGGGGGAAGAAGGCCUUCGGGUCGUAAACCCCUUUUGCCGGGGAAGAAGCCCUGACGGUACCCGGCGAAUAAGCCACGGCUAACUACGUGCCAGCAGCCGCGGUAAGACGUAGGUGGCGAGCGUUACCCGGAUUUACUGGGCGUAAAGGGCGUGUAGGCGGCCAGGUAAGUCCGGCGUGAAAUC
rnacentral:rRNA from 1 species